rnacentral:rRNA from 1 species
UACGUAGGGUGCAAGCGUUGCUCGGAAUCACUGGGCGUAAAGGGCGCGUAGGCGGGGAGGUAAGUCGGGUGUGAAAUCCCUCGGCCCAACCGAGGAACUGCGCCCGAGACUGCUUCUCUUGAGUCCCGGAGAGGAAGAUGGAAUUCCUGGUGUAGCGGUGAAAUGCGCAGAUAUCAGGAGGAACACCGGUGGCGAAGGCGGGUCUCUGGGCAACAACUGACGCUGAGGAGCGAAAGCGUGGGGAGCGAACAGG